GACGAACGCUGGCGGCGUGCUUAACACAUGCAAGUCGAACGGAAAGGCCCUGCUUUUGUGGGGUGCUCGAGUGGCGAACGGGUGAGUAACACGUGAGUAACCUGCCCUUGACUUUGGGAUAACUUCAGGAAACUGGGGCUAAUACCGGAUAGGAGCUCCUGCUGCAUGGUGGGGGUUGGAAAGUUUCGGCGGUUGGGGAUGGACUCGCGGCUUAUCAGCUUGUUGGUGGGGUAGUGGCUUACCAAGGCUUUGACGGGUAGCCGGCCUGAGAGGGUGGACGGCCACAAUGGGACUGAGAGACGGCGCAGAGGCCUACGGUAGGCAGCAGUGGGGAAUAUUGUACAAUGGGCGGAAGCGUGAUGCAGCAACGCCGCGUGCGGGAUGACCGCCUUCUGGUUGUAAACCGCUGUCGGCUGUGACGAAGCGUGAGUGACGGUAAUGGGUAAAGAAGCACCGGCUAACUACGUG
rnacentral:rRNA from 1 species